rnacentral:piRNA from 1 species
UACUGGCAUCUUUUUUUUAAU